rnacentral:lncRNA from 1 species
UGAUUUGGGGGCAUGCAGAAAGAGGAGGAAGCUGCAGCAUGAAUGAGGAACCUUGGUUCCCAGAAAGGAACUAGGAUUCCUCUGUUUUCUCUUCUCUCUGUAUUUUCCUGAAUUCCUUCUUAUCCUUGGUGUUUAUGUGAAAUUGAUUAUGAGAUGUAAACUGAGAAGAUAAGAGGGUUAUUCCUUCGAAAAUGGAGAGAGACAGAGAGAGAAAGAAAGGAUUUUCACAACUGCACCAAACACAACCCAACCAACCCAACACAGAGCCCGGUGUAUUCGGAUCCUACUUGGUUGUCACAGAGUCUUUAUCCUCUCCUUUCAAUUCUCUUUCUCUGUCUCUC